rnacentral:rRNA from 1 species
UACGGAGGGUGCGAGCGUUAAUCGGAAUUACUGGGCGUAAAGCGCGCGUAGGCGGUUUGUUAAGUCGGAUGUGAAAGCCCCGGGCUCAACCUGGGAACUGCACCCGAUACUGGCCGACUUGAGUGCGAGAGAGGGAGGUAGAAUUCCAUGUGUAGCGGUGAAACGCGUAGAUAUAUGGAGGAAUACCGGUGGCGAAGGCGGCCUCCUGGCUCGACACUGACGCUGAGGUGCGAAAGCGUGGGUAGCAAACAGG